rnacentral:rRNA from 1 species
GAUGAACGCUGGCGGCGUGCCUAAUACAUGCAAGUCGAGCGAACAGACGAGGAGCUUGCUCCUCUGACGUUAGCGGCGGACGGGUGAGUAACACGUGGAUAACCUACCUAUAAGACUGGGAUAACUUCGGGAAACCGGAGCUAAUACCGGAUAAUAUAUUGAACCGCAUGGUUCAAUAGUGAAAGACGGUUUUGCUGUCACUUAUAGAUGGAUCCGCGCCGCAUUAGCUAGUUGGUAAGGUAACGGCUUACCAAGGCAACGAUGCGUAGCCGACCUGAGAGGGUGAUCGGCCACACUGGAACUGAGACACGGUCCAGACUCCUACGGGAGGCAGCAGAGGGAAUCUUCCGCAAUGGGCGAAAGCUUGACGGAGCAACGCCGCGUGAGUGAUGAAGGUCUUCGGAUCGUAAAACUCUGUUAUUAGGGAAGAACAAAUGUGUAAGUAACUAUGCACGUCUUGACGGUACCUAAUCAGAAAGCCACGGCUAACUACGUG